rnacentral:rRNA from 1 species
UACAGAGGUCCCAAGCGUUGUCCGGAAUCAUUGGGCGUAAAGCGCGCGUAGGCGGCCCUGUAAGUCCGUUGUGAAAGUCAAAGGCUCAACCUUUGAAAGCCGAUGGAUACUGCAGGGCUAGAGUCCGGAAGAGGCGAGUGGAAUUCCUGGUGUAGCGGUGGAAUGCGCAGAUAUCAGGAGGAACACCAAUAGCGAAGGCAGCUCGCUGGGACGGUACUGACGCUAAGGCGCGAAAGCGUGGGGAGCGAACAGG